GCUCCUCUGAUUCAGCGGCGGACGGGUGAGUAACACGUGGGCAACCUGCCUGUAAGACUGGGAUAACUUCGGGAAACCGGAGCUAAUACCGGAUAACUCACGAGACUACAUGGUCUUAUGAUAAAAGAUGGUUUCGGCUAUCACUUACAGAUGGGCCCGCGGCGCAUUAGCUAGUUGGUGAGGUAACGGCUCACCAAGGCGACGAUGCGUAGCCGACCUGAGAGGGUGAUCGGCCACACUGGGACUGAGACACGGCCCAGACUCCUACGGGAGGCAGCAGUAGGGAAUCUUCCGCAAUGGACGAAAGUCUGACGGAGCAACGCCGCGUGAGCGAUGAAGGCCUUCGGGUCGUAAAGCUCUGUUGUUAGGGAAGAACAAGUAUCAGUUAACUACUGGUACCUUGACGGUACCUAACGAGAAAGCCACGGCUAACUACGUGCCAGCAGCCGCGGUAAUACGUAGGUGGCAAGCGUUGUCCGGAUUUAUUGGGCGUAAAGCGCGCGCAGGCGGUUCUUUAAGUCUGAUGUGAAAGCCCCCGGCUCAACCGGGGAGGGUCAUUGGAAACUGGGGAACUUGAGUGCAGAAGAGAAGAGCGGAAUUCCACGUGUAGCGGUGAAAUGCGUAGAGAUGUGGAGGAACACCAGUGGUGAAGGCGGCUCUUUGGUCUGUAACUGACGCUGAGGCGCGAAAGCGUGGGGAGCAAACAGGAUUAGAUACCCUGGUAGUCCACGCCGUAAACGAUGAGUGCUAAGUGUUGGAGGGUUUCCGCCCUUCAGUGCUGCAGCUAACGCAUUAAGCACU
rnacentral:rRNA from 1 species